GACGAACCGUGCGAACGUUGUUCGGAAUCACUGGGCUUAAGGGGCGCGUAGGCGGGCUGUCAAGUUUGGGGUGAAAUCCCGCGGCUCAACCGUGGAACUGCCUCAAAUACUGACGGCCUCGAGGAAGGUAGGGGCAUGCGGAACUGUAGGUGGAGCGGUGAAAUGCGUUGAUAUCUACAGGAACUCCGGUGGCGAAAGCGGCGUGCUGGACCUUUUCUGACGCUGAGGCGCGAAAGCUAGGGGAGCAAACGGG
rnacentral:rRNA from 1 species